CUUGCGGGAGGCCGCCGUGGGGCCUAUUACACAAUGGGGGGGAACCCUGAUGCAGCAACGCCGCGUGAGCGAAGAAGGCCUUCGGGUCGUAAAGCUCUGUCCUAAGGGAAGAAAAAUGACGGUACCUUAGGAGGAAGCCCCGGCUAACUACGUGCCAGCAGCCGCGGUAAUACGUAGGGGGCGAGCGUUAUCCGGAAUCACUGGGCGUAAAGGGUGCGUAGGCGGCCAAUUAAGCCAGGGGUGAAAGGCUACGGCUCAACCGUAGUAAGCCCUGGGAACUGAAUGGCUUGAGUGCAGGAGAGGAGAGUGGAAUUCCUAGUGUAGCGGUGAAAUGCGUAGAUAUUAGGAGGAACACCAGUGGCGAAGGCGACUCUCUGGACUGUAACUGACGCUGAGGCACGAAAGCGUGGGGAGCAAACAGGAUUAGAUACCCCUGUAGUC
rnacentral:rRNA from 1 species